rnacentral:tRNA from 1 species
GCAGCUCAGUGGGAGAGCUUUUGUUUGGCAUGUAGAAGGUUCCAGGUUCAAUUCUUGACAUCUGCU